GCCAGCAUCUUCGUGGCAGCUACAUCUUGGGUGGUGGCAUCUUCCAGAGUUUCACGGAAGUGUCUGUUGAUUGGGAUUGCCUACAGAGCUUGAUUCCAGACCCCGCUGAUGACGUCAUCCUGCAACAUUUUAGGAUUGUCAUAAAAUUAGCUUCUGUCGAAGCACUUAUUUUCUGGAUGAAGAUUUCACAGUCUUCUUGGCAGCUUGGUUUAAAGAUUAGUCACACUUAAGUUAUAUCUGAGCCACCAGAGGAUUGAACCACACCAGUGAAUAAAAAGCAGCCCGCCCCGCCUGCCUUCUAAGUGGACUCUGCCUUCUGAGGUGUUUCGUUUAUCAUCAAAUCUUCUCAUGGUCAUUCAGAUUUGAAGACAUACACAGAGUGCUUGCUCAUCCUCACAUUAAGAAAAUAAGUAAGCGAUGGACAUAUAAGAAUUCUGGAAGUAUUAGAGUCUACAUAAUUCAUCCCUCCUUCAAGUCAUGAGAUCUUCAAUCAGGGUAAAUAUGAAAUUAAAGCCAACUCAUGGCCCUGGCCUGGAGCACCCUUACGUGAGGCCCAUGCAGCCAUCUGAGCCACUGGAUAUGUCCUACUUUUUGUCCAAAUCUCUGGGCCUCACAAAAAAGCCCUCUCACAGUUAUAGAACUUAUAAGAAAACGAAAUCAGAAUCUCUCUAUUUGACAUUUUUAACAAUUACUACAAGAAUCUGAAGUUUGUUGCUAUUCGGAAAGGUCCAGUAACCUUGGAGGGGCUAUAUUCUGUUGGUGGCAGGGUCAAGUAAAAUAGGAAGAUUGAUCUUAGUUAUUAAGAAGAUUAAUUUAUGCUACAAAUAAACUCCACAAUGGGGCUGAAUUUUCUUUAUCCUUUUAAAUAAAAUUACAAUGCUGAA
rnacentral:lncRNA from 1 species